GAAUGUCUGGAAGGUCAUCCUCUCUCUUUCCCUGGGCUUGGGCUGGGGCAGGGAUGCUCGUGAUCCUGCUCGUGUCUGUCCCAGGUGUGGCACAGGCCAGUGACAGGCACCAAGAAGCUUAAAGUCUGCUUCUGGGAAGAGACCCAAGCUUGAGUGUACCGUCUCUAACAUCAGAAGUCUGGGGUUGUGCUUCAGCUCUGCCACUGACCACCUCUCCUGGUUCCCCCACGAAUACCUCCUACUUGAUGAACAAGAUGGACCCACCAAGACACCUGAGAGGGACCUGAGAGGGAACAUACCAAACAAGGGGCUCACUCAUCGAUACACGUGCACCCGAGACCGCAUAUGUAUGUAUGCUUGUGAAACCUAGCCUGUAGCUAUGUCUAGGCACUCAAGGCUGGCUAUACAUGCGUAUUCAGCCCUGACGGGAAGAGUUGCCCUCUGGUCCAGGUGUCAUCAGUUUUAAA